GUGAAUAGCUGGAGCUGUUAUGCAAACCCUUGCUUAUUUCAGUGGUUUGGGGUGAGUAGACUUUUAAUUGAGAAAUCCUUAUAGAAUCAAAGUGCUGCAUUAUCAUCAGUUUUGGUUCAUCUCAACACACAACACUGAAUUGUGCAAGAUGUGGAAACCAGGCAGGAGUGUCUAGAUGCAGCUUGAUUAGCUGAGGACUAGGAAAAGAACAGCAUCUUGAAUGCUUACUACUUAUAAAUAAAUGCCUUAACUUUUUUUUCAAUGGGGGUGGAUGUUUUUUGAAAAUCUGAUGUGUGUCACUUCUUAAUUCUAAUAAACAUAUUUGGGAUGGGGGGAAAACAUUAAAAUUAUCUCUCCCUGUGCACCAUCCUGACUGCUGAGAUUGGCUAAGGUGCUGCUGGUGAUUUCCAUUCUUGGUGGUGGGGUCUCAGCUGCAGAUUACAUUCCUCUGAUGAGCCACUGGAGCCUCUUCAUGGUGCAACAUUUACCUGUUAUAGCAGGCAUGUAUUUCAUUUCGUUUAAAAGCUGUUAAGAAAUAGAAAUAACUGAAAAACCUGUUUAGAAGAGACACAGACACUCCCUCAAGUAUGAUUCCAUGGGGCUAAAUCUGCAGUCCUAAAUUAAGCAAGAGCCUAGUGGGACAAAUGGAGGCCCAAGGCCUGGAGAGAUGGAAGGGACGGAGUGACAGUCUUCUAGUUCCUUUGUUACCAUAAACAGAGAAUAGAAGAUUAUGGACUAUAGAGAAUCAGACAGCUAGCAAGUCAAAGCAACUGUUUGUUUGGUGACCAGAAUAUUUUGUUCUGACUAGUUCAUGAAUGAAAGAAAUCAUUAUAGCUAUAAAUGACGAAUCCCUCUAUUUGAUUGUGCAAUUUACUCUUUCUAAACAAGGGGUGUGUUUCUAUUAGAGCUAAGAUUU